UUAUUUCACAGCAGCAAGUCUCAUCCUUAUUGCUAUAAAACUACUUAUCUUCUCUUUCAUGAACAUUUGUGAGCUGAAAUAUAUAAUCUAAACCCCAGAAAAAAGCAUUCAGAGACAGGAACAUCUAAAAUGUUAAAUAUGAUCGAGAUUCUCAAAUUAGAAAUAAAAAAUAAUCCAACAUCCUUUAAAAUAUGCAGAGAGUAUCAAUAAUACUAAAAGUGUAAUGUCUAUAAUCUUGAUUUAAUUUGGAGAUUUAUGUAUGAAACUAAAACUUGUCAUCUCAAAUAAUUUCCUCAAAUGUCACAUGAAAUGAACACAAACGUUAUAGCUAAGAGGGAAAGAUCAUAUUUGAAAAUACUUUGAUUAAAACAAGAUAAAGCCAAGGCAGUACAAUUAUUAUCUGUUAAUGUGUAAUAACCAAGAUAAUUCUAAAUCAGGGCAAGUGGUGCGGAAAAAAAUAUACCAAACUACAAGGGUUAUAUCAAU
rnacentral:lncRNA from 1 species